UUCAACCAGGAAACUGUAGGAAAACGGUGCACACUGUUUUAAGAUUGAACGUGCCCCAGCUUUACUUAAGACCCAAA